rnacentral:lncRNA from 1 species
UUUGAGAUCGGGAGAGAGAUAAAAUAUAUGGUUGCAUUGGCGACUUGUCUAUGUCAUGUCCUUGCUCAAAAAAGAGUUUGGCUUUCUGCAAGCAUCAAACGUUUCAUUUAGAAUCUUGUUAUCAUCAGGAAAUUAACAUGCAGGCCAUAAUAAAUUAUCGUUGAAUCUGCUGAAAUAGACACAUUUGAGCCUAGUUUGGCUAAAUAUAUCACAGUUUACCUUCCAAUGCUCUCUUAGGCAAUCCUCUUUUUAAACUUUAGUUAAAUCAUGUCUGCACACUCAAUCUAGCUACCUGUUUGUACAAGAUAUG